GUGGAGCCUGCGGCUUAAUUUGACUCAACACGGGAAACCUCACCAGGCCCGGACACCAGAAGGAUUGACAGAUUAAGAGCUCUUUCUCGAUUUGGUGGGUGGUGGUGCAUGGCCGUUCUUAGUUGGUGGAGUGAUUUGUCUGGUUAAUUCCGGUAACGAACGAGACUCUGGCCUACUAAAUAGUCGACGGGCGUUUUGGUGCAUGGGCCCCGUUCGACACAGUCUUCUUAGAGGGAUGAGCAGCGAGUAUAGCUGCAGGAGAUUGAGCAAUAACAGGUCUGUGAUGCCCUUAGAUGUCCUGGGCCGCACGCGCGCUACACUGAAUGGGUUAGCGGGUUGUCCUUCUCCGAGAGGAGCGGGAAAUCGCUUGAAAACCAUUCGUGAUAGGGAUUGGGGCUUGCAAUUGUUUCCCAUGAACGAGGAAUUCCCAGUAAGCGCAAGUCAUCAGCUUGCGUUGAUUAAGUCCCUGCCCUUUGUACACACCGCCCGUCGCUACUACCGAUUGAAUGAUUUAGUGAGGCCUUCGGACUGGCGGUCUUGGACUGGGGCGCCGGCGUUCCAGCAAUGGGCACCGGCGACCCGCCUAGACGGGCCGGAAAGAUGUCCAAACUUGAUCAUUUAGAGGAAGUAAAAGUCGUAACAAGGUUUCC
rnacentral:rRNA from 1 species